UACGUAGGGGGCAAGCGUUGUCCGGAUUUACUGGGCGUAAAGCGCGUGUAGGUGGAGGCUUAAGCGUGCCUUGAAAGCCCCCGGCUCAACCGGGGAAGGUGGGUGCGAACUGGGUCGCUUGAGGGCGAUAGAGGGGGGCGGAAUUCCUGGUGUAGCGGUGAAAUGCGUAGAGAUCAGGAGGAACACCCGUGGCGAAGGCGGCCCCCUGGGUCGGCCCUGACACUGAGACGCGAAAGCGUGGGGAGCGAACAGG
rnacentral:rRNA from 1 species